rnacentral:rRNA from 1 species
UACGUAGGGUGCGAGCGUUAAUCGGAAUACUGGGCGUAAAGCGUGCGCAGGCGGUUCGUUGUGUCGGCGGUGAAAGCCCCGGGCUUAACCUGGGAAUGGCCGUCGAAACUGGCGAACUGGAGUGUGGCAGAGGGGGAUGGAAUUCCGCGGUAUAGCAGUGAAAUGCGUAGAUAUGCGGAGGAACACCGAUGGCGAAGGCAAUCCCCUGGGCCUGCACUGACGCUCAUGCACGAAAGCGUGGGGAGCAAACAGG